rnacentral:tRNA from 1 species
GUCAGAAUGGCCCAGUGAUCUAAGGCGCCAGACUCAAGGUGUUUCAACCUUCUCAGGUAAUGAGAAUUUGGUCACUAGCUAGAGGCGUGGGUUUAAUUCCCACUUCUUACA